ensembl:lncRNA alpha-1-acid glycoprotein-like
CCUGGAUUGGGGUGGGGGGGUCUGCAGCCAAAGCAGCACUGGGAGGGUCGCAGGUCUCAUUAGCAGAGCAAGAGGUGCCUACGGCAGCUGCUCACAGGGGGGAAAUGGGCACUUUUCGGGCAGAUUUAAGUAUUAAAUACAGUAAGUACAUCCCUAACAGCCCACUCCUGCCAACACUUGCCAUAGCAGCCACAUCCGAGGCCGGGGCAAGUGCCAAGCACGCGGCUCUUGGCUGGGCAUCGCCCCCGAGAGGCACCGAUUGCGACACGGGCGCAGAUCCGGCAGCCCUGGGGACAUCCUGUCCCCUCCCAGCAGAGCUGCAGGAGCCAGGAGAGGCCGUGUGUGCAGGGCUGUGCUCGGACAGCCAUGGCCCGUGCCGGCNNNNNNNNNNNNNNNNNNNNCUGAGCCUCGCCCUGCUGGCCGCGGAUGCUGCGCCCUGCGGAGCCCAGCGCCCCGACAGCUCCACGGCAUCCAAGCUGCUGGGGACGUGGCUGUACCUGGCAGGGGCUGCCCAGUUCCCCCAGCACCAAGUGGAGAUGCUGCUCAUCGAUCACGCCUUCCUGCGCUUGGAGCCCGGUGCCAGCGGGCAGCAGCUGCUCAUCAGCCACUACGUGGCCGUGGGGGACCAAUGUUUUACCAACAACCUCACCUACCUGGAAGUCAGUGUCGGUAACGCCACGCUGGUGAAGGACGCCAAGACCCAGCAAACUGAGGGGAUGCUGAUGAACAUGAGCUCUGAAAACCUUUUACUCAUCCAGUACCAAAUGCAGAAGGACAGGACGUAUUUGGGGCAGUAUCUCUAUGCCCGGAAUCUGAGCAUAAGCACAGCAGACCAGGAGGAAUUUGAGCACCACGUGGAGUGCCUGGGGCUGAGGGCAGAGCAGAUCGUGUACGCGCCUUGGAAAACGGUACUGGGCACUCUGUGUCACCAAAACCACCACAGCCCCCUCCAGGCAGGGCUGCAAGACCCCAGGCUGCACCUCCAGCUGCCAAACUGGGGUCUUGGAGACAUGUUUUCAAGGUGUUGGAAAUGA